ACUUAAAUAGCUUAAUUAAUUAGAGCAUGAUAUUGAAGAUAUCAAGGAGAUUUGUACAUCUUUAAGUA
rnacentral:tRNA from 1 species